rnacentral:tmRNA from 1 species
GGGCUUGUACUGGUUUCGACAGGGAUCUUGAAGAUGGAGAAGCUAUCCGCAGGUUGAUGCGUCAAAUCACAAAUUUAAAAUUAAACGCUAACGAUAAUUACGAAUUAGCUGCAGCCUAAUUGCUGCAUGUCAGCCUUAGAGCACUCACACUUUAAGGACCUGGCACCGACUAUGUGAGAAACGAUACCGGCAAAGCUUUGAGCCGGCAGGCGUAUCAUGAAGCUACCGAAACUGUAAGGAUGUUAGUUUCCGUACAGCGGGGGGAAUCUGAAAGAACUGACUAUGAUAGUAGAAGUACAUGGGAUAGGUUUUUGGACGCGGGUUCGAUUCCCGCCAGGUCCAUAU